rnacentral:rRNA from 1 species
GACGGAGGAUGCAAGCGUUAUCCGGAAUUAUUGGGCGUAAAGCGUCCGCAGGUGGACAUACAAGUCUGCUGUCAAAGUGCAGAGCUUAACUCUGUAAAGGCGGUGGAAACUGUAGGUCUUGAGUAUGGUAGGGGUAGAGGGAAUUCCCGGUAGAGCGGUGAAAUGCGUAGAGAUCGGGAAGAACGCCGAGGGCGAAGGCACUCUGCUAGGCCUGAUUUCGCGACUGACACUCAGGGACGAGAGCCAGGGGAGCGAAUGGG